AACAACGUGGCAGAGUGGUCUAAAGCUUGUGACUCGAAAUCAUAUCUCCUAGGAGGCGUCUGUUGGAAUCAGGCCGUUGUUG
rnacentral:tRNA from 1 species